UUUGUACUACAAUUAGGUACUGG
rnacentral:miRNA from 1 species